AUGACGGGGGCGGACGACGGCGAGGGUGGCGACGGCGCCGCGGCCGAGGAGGCCCUGGUGUCGCCCGAGCAGCGGCAGCACGACCCCGUCAUCCAGGGCAGGGGACUCACCGAGGAGGAGAAGAAGCGCUUGGCGCUGCACAGGCAGCCCAGCAAGGAGAUGGAUCUGGAUGACCUACUUCCACAGGUGGGAGAGUUUGGGCGGUACCAAAAGAUACUUCUUUGGUUUGUGUGUCUGCCUGCCUGCAUUCCUUGUGGAUUUUGUGCUUUCAAUCAGCUAUUCAUGGCAGACACUCCACCUCAUUGGUGUCGAAACUUGGAGUUAGAAAAUGUACUGCCCAACAUCUCACAAGAGCACAGAAAAAUGCUCUCUAUACCUGCAGAUGGGCCAAACGGCACCUACAGAAGCUGUGCUCGCUAUUCUGUCAAUUGGACUGCUUUGUUAAAAAGCAUGUCUCCUUAUGAUUUAGAGCCUAACUCAUCCUGGGCGACAGAGCCUUGCUAUGAUGGAUGGGAGUAUGACACAUCCGAGAUAACUUCCUCAAUUGUCAUUGAUUUCGAUUUAGUUUGCAGUAAAGAUAUCUACCCUACUAUAGGACUUGCUGCGCUCAAUACAGGAGGACCAGUAGGAGUUUAUUUGUUCGGCGUUCUUAAUGAUAGACUUGGGAGAAGGUUGUCUUUUUUCCUUUGCCUGGCAACUUUGAUUAUUGGAAGUAUAUUUACUGCAGCAGCCCCUGAGUUUUGGUCCUGGGCUGUCUCACGAAUUGUCGUGGGGCUCACAAUACCUGCUAUCUACCAAAUUCCCUUUAUUAUAUCAUUGGAAUUAGUAGGCCCAAAUUACAGGUCGUUUGUCACUGUUAUGACUUGUCUUUUCUACACUUUGGGGCUGGUUCUCCUAGCGGGGGUGACUUAUUUAGUGCGUAACUGGGUCACUCUUGCACUGGCUACAUCAUUACCAUUUCUGGUGUACUUCAUAUACUGGUGGUUUCUUCCUGAAUCACCUCGCUGGCUUCUUGCCAAAGGUCGUCUAGAGGAGGCUUCAAAGGUGCUGGAGACACUAGCAAGAGUCAAUCAACAUGAACUUCCUGAAAGCUUUAAACAAAAGUUGAAACAAAGAAUGAUGCUACAUCGAACUAAAAGUGAAGAAAAGCGACUUAAAGAGGGUCCCAGUGUUUUUGCAUUAUGCAAAACCCCUAAUAUGCGUCUGAAAACUACCCUCAUCACACUGAACUGGUUUGCUAAUAACAUGGUGUAUGUUGGUCUGAGCUAUUAUGGGCCAGCUCUAGGAAAUAAUGAGUACCUAAGUUUCCUUUUGUCAUCAUUAGUUGAAAUUCCAAGCUACUUGGCAUGCUGGGUUGUCAUGGAUUGGUGGGGUAGAAGAUGGCCCCUUUCAAUUUGUAUGAUACUCAGUGGAAUAAGCUGUAUUGUCACAGUCCUUUUGCCAGAAGAUGCUGUCACAGCCACAUUAGUGCUUUACUUAUUUUCUAAAUUUGCUAUUUCGGCUUCAUUUUUAAUUAUCUACCCAUUUGCUGGCGAACUCUAUCCAACCCAGAUGAGGGGUGUUGGAAUUGGAGCUUCAGGUUACAUAGCUGGCCUUGGUCUAAUUUUGAUACCAUUUAUUACAUAUUUGGGAAGGGAAAAUUUAGUACUGCCUCUAGUUAUAAUGGGAGCUAUAUCUGUGCUUGGUGGACUUACUGGAUUAAGACUUCCAGAGACACUGCAUCACAGUUUGCCCCAGACUGUGGAGGAGGGUGAAGAAUUUGGAAAAGACUGGAGCAUGGCUGACUGUGUUCAGUGUAUUCCGAAGAGACCAGUUGCUAAGGAGUCGUAUGACGAUUUGUGUGAUGUGUCAGAAAAUUUUGAACUGGCAACACUACCAACUGCACUUCAAUUACCUGGCCCUCCAGAUCAAGAAGACUCGCCUCUGACACCUUUGAAUCGAUCUUUUGAUUCGGCUGCACGCCGGUCUAUGUCUGUCAGGGGCAGUAGAGGUUCAAAAUCAAGACUUGUCAGACAAGCUAGUACAAUGGAAACCCCUAUUGACUCUUCAGGCUUUAAAAUGACAUAUUGGUUCUGAACUAGUAGACCUUUGCAUCCAGUACUUGAAAACAGUGAUUUUUUAUAGUGUCAUGAUAAAAUUUUAAAUCAAUAUAGUCAAUAGAGCAAGUUCUGUUCUUCUUAUUGGCGUAUGUUUUGUCUCAUUGGGAUAAUGUUUCCAAUACAAGUUGCACAAGAUUUGAGAGAGAGAGAGAGGGAAAGAGAAAAAUUGCCACUGCUGUUGUUGCAAAGGUCUUACAAUAAAAUUAACAAAUGAAGACUGUCCAAUAGUUGCAUCUGUGCUCGACAUCAGCUAAGCAGCCUAUGUGUCACCCGAUGUAUGCUGAGUUGGCAUCACAGCACACAGCAUGAGAAAUGGCCCCUUUUCCUCAUGAUCACAGGAAUGAAUUUGGUAUUUAGAUUCGGCCCAAGUCACCUGCAGAAACAAGGCGACUACUUGAGGAAGACUUAGUCAUCGUCACAGCACACAGCAUGAGAAAUGGCCCCUUUUUCUCAUGAUCUCAGGAAUGAAUUUGGUAUUCAGAUUCGCUCCAAGUCACCAGCAGAAACAAGCCGGCUACUUGAGGAAGACUUUACUCUUAUAAUGUAAAUGAUUUAAAACAAUAAAGAAUAAAAAAUGACUA